UCCCUUCCAGCUGACUCAGGGCUUCGCUGUCCGGUGACCGAGGGGGAAAGUACCGCUGCUGCAGAUCGGGCCCGUGGGAUCAGGCUCCCCAGAGCACCCCCUCCUGGGGUCCAUGGCCCGCCCUGGUCCUGCCUCCUGGGUUCAUGGUCCCCUCCAUCCUCUCUGGGUCCAGGGGCCCCUUCCAUCUUCUCUGGGUCCUGACCCCCUCCCUUGUCCAGGGGUCCCCCCUGAUCCCCAGACCCCGAUCUGGGCCCAUCCCCCUCAUAUGGGGCUUUGCCCCUGCAGCGUCUUCCCUCCCUGGGUGUGGGGGCCCUGUGUGCUGGGGCAGUUUGGGGGGGUUGGAGGGAGGUGACCCCUAAACCUUCCUGGUUCCAACUCACCCUCCCACCUUUCUGUUCCUUUUUGUACUUCUCCCUGCAUGGAUCUCCCGGCGCCCAUCCCAGUGGCACCUGUCCUGCUCCCCAUGACUCCUGGGGGCUGUUGGGGGGCUGUUCCCCACUCAGACCUCACCCCCCCGUACAGCAACUCGGGCGCUCUGCCAGAAGCAGCUGCAGCAGCCAGAGCUGCAGCCGGUGGCUUGCUGUAGCUUUCACGCCGACUCCCUUUCUCCGGUCUGGGAACUAGGCGUCAGAGUUAAAUCCCAGCGACAAACAACCAGCCCUGCUUCCCCGGCAGAGCCUUUCCCGGGGCUUCCGCCAUUUCCCGGUCUGUGGUGCUUACCCCGGAGCGGGCGAAGAGGUGCCUGGCUCCCGGCUGUGAAUACCUGCUCCGUUGGGACACGGCAGCAGUGCAGGCCCUGCUGUGGCACCGGCCCGGGGCUAGCGGUGGCAGGCAGAUGAGGUCACACUGGAGGGAAGGCGCACUAGCCAUUGGCACGGCUCACCUGGGGCUGUGGUGGAUCCUCUGUGGCGGCCAGUGUUUGAUGUGGGACGGACAGGGCUGGGCCUCAUUUUCCCCAGGAGUUUGUUCCAGGCCCUGCGGGUUACCCAGGUGAUCCCAAUGUUCCCGUCUGUCCUUGGAGCUGGGAAGUCUCCAGCUGGCCCAGCGGCGAUCCCCCGACCCCGGAGCCAAGAUGACUCAGUGCGGCCUCCUGACCGGCUCCAACAAGCCGGUGCCUCUGCGCAGCGGCUCGGUGAUGGUGCUGAUCCGAGGCUUCGUGGCUGACGUGGGCUGCGAGCUGCCCUACAGGAAUGAAGAGCCAGGGCCCGUGGAGGCCGUGUUCGUAUUCCCCGUGGACACUGAGGCGGCCGUCUACGCCUUCCAGGCCCGCCUGGCGGAAGCCUGUAUCCGUGGAAAAAAAACAGGCUCCCUGAUGGGCGACCCGGCUGUGAUGGUGACCCUGCUGCCCAGCCUGCCUGAGGCGGUGCCGGGCCAGAGCCCAGCCAGGGAGUUCAUCUUCCUGCUGGACCGCUCCGGCAGCAUGGAGUGCCCCAGGGACGGCCGAGACCACUCCCCCCAGCGCAUCGACAGCGCCAAGGAACAGCCUCACAUGCCGUCCGGGAUCCGCUGGAUCAGUGCUGUGCCCCCAGCUUUGGAGCAGCUCCUUGCAGAACCCCCUUAGAUGGGCUGGACCCCCAGGCCUCACCGCCUCUUGGACUGACCCUCAAGGGCUGCAGCCCUCCCGCCUCACCCCGUGAGCUCCAUGGAGUGAGGCCAGCGGAGCCGGAGCCCAGGGAGAGCCAUGGCUGUUCGGCAGGGACCAGGAUUUGCAGCAACACUCAAGCAGCGCACACGAAACAGCCGGGCCUGUUCGUCCCUUGGGCACAGGGAGAAGCCAGGAGUCCUGAGUCCAGGGCCACCCUGCUCAAGCCACUAGGCCAUCUCUGCCUCCAGGAACCAGAGCAGAACCCGGGAACACCGUGGGCCAGGCCCCUGCUCUAGUCCCUACCACCCAAAGCCACCCCAGGGCCAAGCAGAGCAGCUAGGAACCGGGGACCGGAUGGGCACAGAGGGGGCGUUACAUGCUGGAGUGUUCAGACAUUACUAGCUGUGGUGCACUACGGGAGGCCACGUACAUGAGUACAGACAGUCGUACGAGUUGCUUGAGUUAUUCUGCGUGUGGAUUUUUUCUCUCUCUAUCUGAAGAACGUAGACAGGGCCUGCCUUGAAGGCCACUGAAGUUGGCUGGAAAUGGGGAUUUCCAAAGGAGCCUACGGGGACUAGGCAACCAGCUUCCGCCGACGGAGUUUAUCUGAAGACCACUGAAAAGACUCGGGCUGAAAUUCUGCACCCGCUGGAGUGGAAGACAAAAGGCCCUUUGAUUUCAAUGGGGACAGGAUGUCAUCACUGGCAUUUAAGUCCCACUGUUCAUAGCGGGCGGUCAGAAUUAGGAUCUCUGAGUUCCAUCUGCCCUUUGGGGGGAAUCUCAGCCAAAGGGCUGCGUUCCUUCCCAGUGCUGGCUCAACGCAGUCGAUCAGUUACCCGGUUUCCUGAUCCUUCCCCAGAGCCUCCGUGCAGUGCGGGGCAUGGGGCGGCGACAGGACCCGGGGGCUGUGCAUUACGUUGGCUGAGUUGCCUUCUCAGACAUGGAAAGGCUAAACUAGGGACAUGACCAACCACAGAGUCACGUGGUGAGAGCAGUUCGACGGGGGUCGAGGCUGGUUAACACGAAGAGGGAAAACUGUUUGCUUCUUCGCUAUUUUCCUGCAGUUCCUCGAUAAACAUAUCGCUUCCUCCCCAGGGAAUUAAAGAGCUGAGGUCUUCCAGCGUUUGCUUGAGCCCCAGUACGUCCUGAGAAGGGCCCGAUGCUGCCCAAGGUGGACCGUCAAGAUGGAUGGCCAGGUUUUAAGCAGUUCUUCCUUUGGUAGAGAAUUCAGCAGCUGGUGAAUGGGGACGGAUUGACAACACACAGCACGUGGCAAGCGUCCUCUAUCUGCUGCCCACUUCCACCUGUCAGCCUUCCCCACUGAAUCGCAUCUGCCAACCGAACACAGUUCAGCUGGAACAUGUCUGACCAGCUCUAAUUUGGACAGAGAGCAAAUCAAUUAUGCGUGCAAAUCCCUGGGCUACGGUUCACGUUCCCGACUGUCUAUCGAAGAGAAAUCUGCCAUUAUGACCAAAGGAGGUUGUUUUUGGACAUGCAAAGAUCCUGUCAGUCUGUCUGUCACAUAGCUGAAGUCUGUGUAGAUGGGACUAGGUUUACACUCGAUGGCUUGUGCAGGGUGAGGUCAGUGCAGCCACCUAUGGGGUGGGGUGCAGGGGCUGUUAAUAGAGGGACCCCUCAGUCAUUUGGAAAAAGCGAAGAAAUUUGUGACAUUGACACUGGCGAUCCAGAGGACUCCCCCACAAUGCUGAGAGGAGGUGGCAGCUGUGAGCAGCAUGGGGCUUACUGAACACUGGGUCAGCGUGUGGUGGAGCUGGGGGGCAGCCAUGGCUCCUCUUCAGCCAGCAGGAGCCGGAUGCAUCCAAAUUGGUGGCAGUGGGAUCCCAGCUGGGGGUUAGCUCCGGGUUGGGCACAGGCCGGCCAGGUGGGUCUGCACCCAGUGCUCCCUGCUGGCCCCUGGGGCUUCCCAGUUUGUGGCCCAGGGUAGCUUGGGGGGUGGGAAUGGGGAUCCCAGUUUGGGGGGGCUUAGAGCCUGAAGACAACAGGGCCAAUGCUGCACCCCAGCAGGGCAUUGGCGGCUUCCAGGC